AAUAACCAAAGAUUACUGCUGGGUUCAAAGUUGGAUUGGUGAUGACACGAACAUCACCGCCGCCUGGUGCCCAGGUGUCAUAUACACCCCCAAAGAACAUCGCCUUAGCGACCAACAGCAAAGCACCAAUGCCCAACACAAUUAGGUGGAAACCUAAAAUGCUGGUCAUUUUGUUCUUGUCUUUCCA
rnacentral:antisense_RNA from 1 species